GAGGGGGCGGGGAGGGAGGGGAGGGAGAGAGGAGGAAGGGGUGAGAGGGAGAAACCUGCCGCGGCUCUCCGCCUCUUUGUCUGCUCUGGGACUUGGAACAAAAGGGGAAACUCUGAUGAACUCCUUCUCCAGCUCCCUGGACGCCCGAGUAUCUCUUUCUCGCAACUUUGUCAACGCGACUUUCUCCGCUGUCAGGCUGCGCAAAAGUAUCCUAGCGCCUCGCAGGCUGCAACAAUGGAAACAAUGUCCCUUCAAAGUGCGACGAAGUGGAGGGAGAAGGUGUCAUACCAGCGACUCCAAGAGUCAUGUCACCCACUUAGCAGGAGUACUUCUACUGAAAUGCCUUCGAAUUUCUCUUACUGGAUAUAUACCUACCAGCCGCUAGCAUGAAGAUGCCAGGACCGCUGCAAGUUAGCACUGGACAAAGUAGCAUCAACUUCUUCAUUUAGAGUUUCUUCAGUUAAAUUGCUGGGAUUUUCGACAAGGCUUUCCUUAUGUGGAUUAUUGGAGUGUGAUGCCCGAGAAUUCUCUACUUGUAGAAGCACGCCCACGGGACUGCAGAAGCCUUCACACCCACCCAGCACGCUCAGAUCAUCCAGUAACCAACCCAGGAAGUUCUUGUAAGCAUGCAUUUCUUAGUCAACACUGAAUGCCUUUAGACCGAGGUCAACCUUUUCAGCUGGUACCGUGGUUUACACUGCUGAUGGGAAUGAGUGAUGGCCAUCCAGUGACCAGCUGGAUCUGACUGCCUUACAAGACGCAUGUGUAUGAUUAAGAGAGAGACAUUCGUGACUCCCAGAUGUACCUCCUUCCUGUCCCACAGUGUUCCUGAAGGGAGUGAGUUAUGGGGUAACUUAUAACACAGCAGGCUCUUCCUCAAGAUAGCUCUUGUCAAAACAGGAAGACGAAACUCGGGUUUCCAUGAGGAGACCACAGCUUGGGAUCCUGUCUGGAUGUACAAGCAGAAGCAUCUUCAUACUUUUCCAUUUCUAACCAUCAUGCCUCACCCCACCCUCCCAAGGCGACAUCUGCAGAGAGGAGAAUGAGGAGGAAGAGGAGGAGAAAGAGGAGGAGGAAGUAAGACAGAGGGGGACAAGAGGACCAAGAGGGCACAUGGCUGAGGAGGAGGAGAACAACAACAACAACAACAACAACAACAACAACAAGAAGCUUGGUGUUUUCAGGAUGUGUUCCUGAGUCUCGUGAGUAGCACAUGGCAGUUGUUGUCACCUUGGGCUGAGCCGUGAAGAUUCUCACCCUCCCUUGUUGGGGAUGAACUCCGGGAUUCUAAGGAGAGGUCAGCAGGUGUUUCACAGACUGUUCCUGUUGGAGGAUUUGUCUGAUACUCUUCUCCUGAUUAGUCUGGGCUCUACAUUUCCCCAAGGGUGAAACUUGGAAGCCCUCUCCAGGAUGCAGCAGGUAGCUGAGGAGAAAACGAAGACUGACCAGCCCAGAGCUCAGAGCUUCCUCCCAUGCUCAGGAUUUACCACCAAUGCCAUUACAUCGGCCUCUUCUUGUAUGCCUCUGGAAACCACAUGUGUCCUCUGUUUGUAAUGGUUUGGCUAUGGUUGCUGGCCCCUCUUGGACAUUGUUUUCAGAACUUAAAGAAACAUUGCUUUAAAGAUUUAUUAGAACAUAUUUAAAAUAAAACCAUCUUCUCAUUUA
rnacentral:lncRNA from 1 species